rnacentral:lncRNA from 1 species
ACCUAUUGCUCUGUGGGGACAGGAAGAGAUCAUAACCACACGAGAGACAAAGAGGAUCACAUAAGGGUUUCAGAGCCUCAUGUAAUCAACACAAUGUCAUUGGCAAAUAAAGAGCACUCAGAAGACGUCAGUACCCAUGAUGCUCUGAUUUAUAAGGAAACUCUUCAACUUGGAUGGUCUGCUCUCUCAUCCUUGAUCCUGGCAAACACUUAGGCUGGUUAUUUCAGAAUGAAAGCUCCAGAUUAAUCAAAUCCCAAUGGAAGGAUACAGGAUGGAAGCAAGUAAUCUUCAAUACGGAAACAAUUAUUCUGCAUAAGGAAAGAUAUAAAAGCCAUCAUUCAGAAACACAUAUUCCUGGAAAUGAGGUAGACUGUUCAUUUAGAGAGAACAAGAAAUAACAGAUGAACAGUCAGCAUAGUACUGGUCUCCAUAAAACCCCUAAAGGAAAGCCCUUAUGCCUUUAGUUGGAACCUCUGUGGAGGAUUUGUAGCAGACUUGGGAUAAGAAUCAAACAGGAUAAGAAGGC